GUUGUUGCGGUUAAAAAGCUCGUAGUUGGAUUUCUUCCAGGGGCAGUCGGUCCACACUACGUGUGCGUAUCUGAUUUGACUUUGGAAUCCUCUUGGGGAACAUCUCUGCGCUUAACUGCGUGGAAUGGUAUUCAAGACUUUUACUUUGAGGAAAUUAGAGUGUUCACGGCAGGCAAUCGCCCUGAAUACAUUAGCAUGGAAUAAUAAUAUAGGAUUUCGGUUCUAUUUUGUUGGUUUCUAGAGCUGAGAUAAUGAUUAAUAGGGACACUUGGGGGCAUUCGUAUUAUCACGUCAGAGGUGGAAUUCUUGGAUUGUGUUACGACGAACUACUGCGAAAGCAUUUGCCAAGGAUGUUUUCAUUGAUCAAGAACGAAAGUAAGGGGAUCGAAGACGCUUAGAUACCGUCGUAGUCUUUACCAUAAACUAUGCCAACUAGGGAUUGGAGGGCGUUCUUCAUUCGACUCCUUCAGCACCUUAUGAGAAAUCAAAGUUUUUGGGUUCCGGGGGGAGUAUGGUCGCAAGGCUGGAACUUAAAGGAAUUGACGGAAGGGCACCACCAGGAGUGGAGCCUGCGGCUUAAUUUGACUCAACACGGGAAAACUCACCAGGUCCAGACAU
rnacentral:rRNA from 1 species